rnacentral:lncRNA from 1 species
AUAAGGGCGGCGGGCGGGGGGGGGCGCUCAGGCGAGGCUGCGCGGCGCUGCGUGGGCCGCCAUGGUGGGCACCGGGAGGGACGGGGCCUGCGCCCGCAGUGCUAUGCUGACGGGGACGGGGCCGCCUCGCUGCGAGCUCCCCGCUGGAGGAGGGCGCUCGGAGGGCCCCGGGGGCCCUGAGCCGUGUGUGAAAGGGGAAGGAGGGGGGCGGAGGGCCGCCGCCCGGAGUGCCUUGUUGUGUGUACUUCACCUAAUCCAAUGGCAAAAUCCAAGCAGUAAGAAUCUGGAUCUUCUCUGUGUAAAAUGCUUGUAGCCUUGCAAAGGUUGGUCUGUGCAUGGUCCCGCUUAAUCCAAGCACCUGGAAGCCUCUGCGGAAUCAGGACCUGGUGUGUUAUCAUGGCAUGAAAUGUAAACAAAGGGUUGUAAUUAAAAGCACAUUAGGCAGAAGGUUGUUUGAAGCAGACGUGAAGAUAUAAUGGAACCUUAAGAAGUGAAUGCUCUAUUAAAAAAAAAAAAUCUUAAAAUGUUUAUGCUUUCAGGUAAAAAACAGUGAAAUUUUGCUUUUAAGUUCAGAUCAGGUCAGAAAUUGAGCCUCAGUGUGUGUAUGUGUAAGUACAUAUAAAAAUAAAUCUUGUAAUCGUUAAGGAUUUCUUUGACUUAUUAUUUCGUUGCCUUCAAGAAUGGUGGAAGAAACUGAAGAAUUAUUUUCCAUGCAUCAGAAAAGUAAUUCUUACUACUGUCUCUUAAAGGGAGGGGAAAUAAUAAAGGUAAGCACUUGUGAAGAGAACCUUAUAGGAAAAGAGAUCAGUUGUCACUCUACUUGGGGUCAGUUUCUGUCAUAACAAUUACCAGGCUAGUAUAUAAGCUUCCAUUAGAAUGUACAUGUAAAAUACAUUUUCAGGUAACAGCAGUGUAAAACUGCUUUAACUUUCAAGCAGAAAGGGUGAUCCAUAGUAACGAACUGCCUAAUUUAUAGUGACACAGUUGAGGGAUUUCAUAUCACUUGAAAACCUACAGUCUUAUAUAGCCUAUUAAUGAGCUAAUUAUGCAAACUAUAUUUAUUAGUAGCAUAUAUAAAAGAUAAUAAGUAAUUAUAUGAAUACAGAAGUUUACUUGUAUUUCUGUUAAAGUUUUCUGGUUGUGUUGUCUUCACCAAGAUCCACCAAAUGAAUCCUUAGUGACUCCAACUUACCUGCAGUUGUGCAAUAUAGUAUAACCUGAUUUUCUAGUACCCUGUCCAAAUUUUUGAAAACAUGCUCAUCAUCCAUCUUGACCCUUGAACUAGCUCUUACCUAAAGCAUAAAAUAAUCUUUCAUUCUGAUAUUAAAAUGAAACUUUGAAACCUUGAACCAGAGUGGACUCUUUUGACUAAAGUCACUUCAAAUCUUGAACUACUUUGAAACCCAAUGAUUUCUUGGUAUAAAAACACUUCUAGUAAUUGUCUUAUGUGGUAAUCUGUUAAAAGAUGUAAUGGUGGGAGUCUAGCAAAAUAUAGUGUAAAUGGAGAGAAAUAUUGUGACUACAUGUAAGCAGCUCCAAUAUGUAUUCCUACUGAUUUAGCAAAGAGGGAUUGAGGGCGAUCUCUAGAAAACUACGCAAAAGUUUGAAAAAUGGUCUGAGUUGAUGUGGUAAUAACCUCAUAUGCUGAGUAAGACAACCUGUGUAAAGCUACUAAAAAUGGCGCAAAAAGUGAUAUUGCGGGCGCUUUCACUUGUCUUACAAGGCACGUAGUAUCAAAACAGCUGCACUAAUCUACACAUUAGCCUGAAAAGUCUUCAGAAGAGUUUUUACUAGUAUUCCUCUCUUUUCCUCAUAACAAAACUAUUCUGUCUGUGAUGGCUGGGAGUUGAUUAUCCUAAUUUCAGUUUUGUAAGUCCUUAAAUUCUUACACAUAGUCAUCCCAACCAUUUGUUACUGCCGUGUAGUGUCUGAGAGGAGAAACCCUUCUGUGAUGCAAAUGGCACUGAAGUCCAAACUAAUAUUAAGGCUAUGUUGUACUGACUACUGUGGAGAUGAUUUAAGCCAUCCUCUAUGAUAUGCUAAUAAAAGCUUUUCUGAAUGUGGGUGCAAUUCAUAGUGGCAAGUUAAUGUUGCCUUUGUCAACAUAGCUUUUCUUUAUUUAAAUUGGAAAGAGAGCGAACAGAACAUGGUACUAAACCAUAAUGUGAUUUAUAUUAUAGAUAAUUAUGCAAAAAAAAAAAAAAUGCUUGUCAGACAGGUUCGUUGCCACCAACCACCUUUUGGUGACCUGUGAACAACAAGGCACAAGACCUGGUAAGGAGUUUACUUGGGCCACUUUCAGCAUAAGCAGUUUGGGCAGAGCUGUUGUGUGCCAGUUCAUUUCAAAUGUGGAUGUGUUGAAGCAUUAAAGAUACUUAGUUCUCUGUAUGUACAUGAAGGGUUGGCUGCUGCUUUGAAGAAAUCAACUUCCUUUCUGAAUGCAGAAAGGGAUGCCAUGGAGCGCUUAGUGAUGACAGUAACAUGUUAAUUAUGUGUUAACAUUGAGUAGUUAGAACUGCUUAGCUAAUGAGGCUACUUCAUAGAGAGAAGUAGUGCAGGCUACUGAAGGAAAUGCUGAUAAUGAGUUUCCUAUUUAUUUGUGAGGGUAACCUGCAGAGACAGGUGAGCAACUCUGGUUCAGAUGACUUCUGAAGUGAAGAUUGUUAUGAACAACUUGAAGAUCUGUUCAAGUAAAGGGAUAGUACAGCUAAGCAUUUCCUUUCCAAAAUCUCAGAAUGAAGAAGAAACAAGAUGGUGGGGUCAGAGAAUAAUCCGGGUUUACAAAUGGAUGUGG